GGGGGAUUCUCGUGGUGAAAAAGCAGAGGAAUUUGCGGAACCGGCUGGAAAACUUUACAUCAAAAACUCGAUAGCUUCAAAAUGGAAAUACAGGCGUAAUCGUGGACGACGAUUUCGUAAUUAUACACCGUGUACCAAAUCGCGGUGCAGAUGAUACGGUAAUCGGUGGCGAUGUUCGUUAAAUGCACGAGGCUUAUAAAACGAUGAUAAAUUCCGACACUCGGAACGAUAUCAGUGCAAAGCUCUCGCGCCACGCGGAUUGCGAAAAUACUCUGCUGCCUGCUGUUGCCACCACGAAGAGUCACGACCCCCCGCGAAUCCGUAACCCCUUUCUCCCCAUCCCGACGCUUUCGCAUUUCAAGAAAUAUACUUUUGCGAUAUGAAGAAAAAAUCUCAUAACCUUUAACAUUCACCGGGGACUUCUUAUAUUAUAAUGUGUAUAUUAUUGACCUCAGACAGGCCUUCGGCAUUCCCCUUGUUGAUAGAUUUCAUUUCGCAAUGGACCCGUACGAUAAUCGCACCGCAAUUCCCCGCGCAUUUAAUAUUAUACGCACAGUGUACUACACGCACGCGUAUAGACUUUUUGAAACUGUAUAAGUUUCCUUUGCGGCUGUAUAGGCGAUUAAUUUUUAUUCCGGUCCUCCGAAGUCUUCCCGAAAUAGAGGAGGGUUCCGAAUGCGCGAAAUAUGUACGUGCGCGCGUGUAUCCGACAAACAGGUCAGGCGAACUGGCCCCUUUCGCAAUUAAUUUGACUCUUUAUUUUUUAUCGAGCUAAAAAAUAGUCGUACAAUUGGUGCGAAACAUUAUUUGAAUAUGUUACACGGUUUGAAUAAAUGUCAGAGCCGAUCGAGGUGACCGGGAACGAGUUAUAAUAAUUGUAUAGUUACAUAGAAAGUCUCAACAGCUCUGCAUAAUUAACUACCGCGUAAACUUCUCAUUUGAAAUGGAGUUUGAACCACAUAUAUCUCACGGUACACAGCUGCGAUAUUGAAAAGACGUAAACUUGACGGGGUUCGGAGAAGAGAACUACAUCACAAGUUUAACAAAUAUUUAUUACUUCACGGGUUACCGUGUCACGUACGCAAUGAUUAAUGAAUUCAUUUUUUUAUCAUCGUACCGCAAUAUAUAUAACGUGUACGGGUCCAACAUGAUUUGAAAAUAUUCCUGUUAAUUUUUAUUACAUCUUGUAUGAAACGAGAAAUAAAAGUUUGGCGGAGCGUGUCGACCUGAGCGAGCUAAUUGUAAUAGUUCGUUUGGCUGGAAUAUUCGAGCAAAUUUUUCAUCCGCUAUUGCCGGGGUUAACCGAAACGCAUGAAAGAAUCUCGCUCGCUAGCCGCUCUACAGACAUCUCACAGCAAAUAUACAAUUGUUUGAGGAAAGCUUUAGCGUUUAACAAAUGCUAAACAGGGUUCGCAGAUAAGACUCUCCGCGGUGAUAGCUGCCGAUGACGCAGAUCAAGGUACACGAGCGGUCAUCACCUCUGCGGUUCCAGAGCAAGAAUUCACUUCGUAACUGAUAUCAGCUACGUCCAAUUAUAAACUCAUCGAGAUAUUUUGUUUAUUUCUGAGAAACGUUGACGAUUUAUAGAUUCUAUGCGCUGAUCGAUUCUCAUCGUGGUAUAUGUAUAAUGCGAUGAUUUUUCGAUCGUGCAGCGCGAGGCCUGAGGAAUUUUUUCUUUUUUUUCUUUUACAAUUACAAACUCGACGCCGCGGAAGAGUUGAUAUCGAAUCAGUUUCAGCCAGAUCUACAGUAUCAACAACUCCGAAGAAUUAAUUUUAGAUAUGGCAGUGUCGCAAAAUUCGGUGUACUCUGAUUGCGGUUGACACGUUAAUUUUCGAGAUUUGUUUUCUAAGUUUUCAUUAAUCUCUAUUAUCUCUUUAAUUAAUUGCUGUACAAAUGGAAUAUUCUCAUUCCGCAUAUACUAAUAAACAUUCCAAUACAGGUGAAAUCAGAAGUAAUUCAUUGUCAGCGACGGUCUUCAAUUAUAUCGGAUUCGAUCGAAAUUACAUUUCCUAGAUUACCAUUUAAUCUAUUGCGGGAAAAAAGUUUGAUCUGCGUCACACUCUUUGGAGAUGGCAAGAUAUCUGUACAGAUUGUACACCCCGAUUGAAACGAUGACGUACGUGCAAAAAUAAUAUCUAAUGCAAUUUCUUUUUUCAUUCAUGGUUUUCUCGAAUUCUUUUUGUAAUCGUCGCCGCGACGUCGAUUGGAACGAAGUUCAACGUCUAGUAUAUCACACGGGAGUCUCGUAUCGGACCGAAAUUGCAGAAAAUAAUAUAAGCUAAUCAGAUCUCAGCGGAGUCACAUGAUUCGAAUAAACAACGUACCCUGUACCGCUUGGUCGUUAUCGCAACUAGACGCUACGUGGACUACGAACCUUCAGCUGGGGGAUUCGGGCAAAGUUGAUGUUGCGCUCUGAUUGUAAGAAAGAAAUUAGAGGCAGGGGAGACGGAAGAAUUCACUCGAGGACUUUGUUCGAGAUAUCCGCACGGAAAUUUACAUUUCGUCGCUCGACGUCGGUAUCAGUAUAAUACGUACGACACCAGAUGCCGAAUAAUCAUCGUGCGCCUCGACUCGUAUUCGAUGAUUUCGAAACGCUUGGGAGUUGGUUUGAAAGAAAAAAAAAAAAAAAUCUUAUUCUUUGAUUCCAGGCUAAGCCAACGCCGUUUUUCCAUUCGGCGUGAUUUUCACGAAAUGGUUCAAAUAUUUUUCAACCGUGUAGAAAUUUAAUUGAAAAAUUCUAUCGAGAUGCCACGAUAAUAACGCGGGGUAGAAGAUAUUCCAGCACAUUUUUUAUGUGUUUACCGAGGGUACGAACGUAGGUCGA